rnacentral:lncRNA from 1 species
AACAGAGUUUAAAGCAAACAAAACUUCAGCUUAUCAUGAAAGAAAUGAUCAUUCUGAUUCCGAUGAAAGCAAAACAGGUUCGGUCAGUCCAACUUUCAAUAAGCAAUAACGAUAAUGACGGAAACCUUAAACAUUCAUGGCCAAAACAAGGAAAUCGAACUUAAAGAAACUAUAGGCACUCAACAACCUAGAUUUGUUCCCACCCAGAAUAACCAUACAAAUCCUCUUUUAUUGACUGACCAUACUCAGCACAUCAAACCAGUUCUGACAGCCUAUGAUAAAAGAAAAUAAGAAAGAUUAACCUUCAAGCCAUUUGGAAACCAGCCCUUAAACAUUUACACACAAAACAAAUUAACUAUGGUCGGAUACUGAUAGAAGAGGUAGACGAACACACGAUUACAUGUUUCGAUAGAUUCUGAGACUAAAGGAUCGUAUGAACUUUCAUUAUCACACAUAUGAAAUCAUAGAAGAGGCUGAAAAAAUAAGAAGAAACAGAGCAGAAAGAUGAACCUAGGAUAACUACACAAAUCUCAGUUAUUACUUUAAACUUUAGCCCAUUUUAUAGCUUAUUCAUAGAUCUAUUUACAACAGGAACUAAAGAGAAGAAAAGAAAAGAACCUGGAAUCAAGAGACUGCUUAAUACAACACUAAAAUAGACCAAAAGGAAGCAAAUAACAGCUAAAAAUCAACCCUCGAGCAGCAACAGACUCGAACAUCUCAAAUGACUUCCAUUUUUAAACCAAAAUCCAGAAUCGUAAUGAAGAAGAUGGACUCUAGAGAUUCUGAAAAAACUUUAAACAAUAAUCGGCAUAGAAAUGACCUAGCCGAACAUUCAGUGAUUUUUUUCUUCUGUUCUAGUACCAGAAAUAAAAGAACAAUCCAAAGAAGAAAUCUCUCUCAAAUCCUUUCCAAAAUAUUCUCCAAAAGUUCCCCCGAAUAAUCCACAAAAAUUCUCUCCCUCAAAAUCGGAUGAGGUCUCUUUUGAAAACGAGCCUCUGAUGAAUGUGAGGCUCAAAUUAAGUGAAAUCAAUCCAACGCCUCGCACUCAUCCAACUAUCAUUCUCAGAACCUUCCAAUCGCGUACUAUAUCUCAAAUUCGAGCGAGUGAGGGGGAGGGGAAUCUUUGGUGUCAGAAAUCAUUGCACCUGUGGCAGGAGGAGAGAAAGGAGAGACACGUGAUGUGAGUUUGGGUUCACUCGCCUGAAUUUGGGCGAGUUUGAGAAUGAAUUUGGGUGAGGAAGAUAGUGAACAGUGUUACCAUCGUUUGAGCUUGAGAGAUUAGGGCUUUGUGAGUCU